AAGGCAUUAUUCAGAAAGAACCAAUCAGGAGAGAGCAGGCAAACAAGAAUAGAAGUUCUCACUCUGGUCUGCGGGUUUUAGGCUGUUUUUGGCUUGAAGGUGGGGUUUCACUGGGGACCCACCCCUAUCUUCCUAGGAUUUCUUUGCCUCCUGCCUCUAUUAAUUUGCAAGCAACACAAGCUCAUGAAGGGGCUCCAGUCCCUCUCCAGAUUCCAGGGCUUUGUGGUGUGGCAGGAUGAGUGGCCACACUUGAAAGACUCAGGAGACAGCGAGGUUUAACCUAAAGCCAUGAGCUGGGAAUCCACUCAAGCAGGAGGCUGAAAAUGCAAAUAUAGGAAAGUACAGUGACUGUGGAGUGGGGAUGCUGCAAGGCAGCCCGCACCCUUUGCCUCUGAAAUAACUACUUUUUGGAGGUGCCAGAGGAGAGAAUCGGUGGAGCGCCCUCCUGGAGUGGGAUCACAGCACCACCCAAGCCUAGAAUCGUCAUCUUCUGGCCUACAGCACCCAGUAUUCCCAGGCAGUCUUCCAUCUAAGGACUAACCAGGCUUUAUCUUGCUUAGCUUCCAAGGCCAGGUGAGAUCGGAUGCAUUCAGGUUGGUAUAGCUGUAGAUAGCCCCACCUAUUUAUACCUUCACACUGGGGGUUAUGUCCCAACAUAGGAAUUUUUUUGGGACACCAACAUUCAGACCACAGCAGGAGUGUUGGAGACCAAUUAGAAUGUUGACAUUUGAUAAUUGCCCUCUUCAAAACUGGCUGAAGAGAAAGGAAUCUGACUGAUUUUUGAAGCUAGUGCUCUUUUGCAGGUGCCAUCACCUGUUUGUUGUGUGAACUUGCUCUCUGUCCUCCUGGAGUCAGCUACUAAAACUUCUCAUCCACAGUGCUGGCCCCUGAAUCCUGGCUAACAAAGCCUUACCCUAUGGACAGGAAGAGAAAUGAGACACAACGUUGCCCAGGAGCUGGGUAUUGGUGAUGACUCCAAGCCCUACUUCUCUUCCACUUGCUAGGGCUCUGCUUGCUCCAUUGGUUGCCAAAUCCACAUCUGGAUUUUCCUGUUCACUGGGCCCGUUUCGACUCAUGAUUUGCUUUGGACUUUCCACUUGGUUCUAUGCAUUGCUCUCUGUGAUGAUCCUGGUGGUUCAGCCUCUGCAUUUUGACACAGAAAGCCCCUGGUAGCAGUAUGGAUGGCCAUGUUGGCCUGGACCUGAAGAACACUGAAUCUCACCCACCAGGAACUGGACUCCCAAACUCCUGGCUGCUGACUCCAGGAAUUCCUAUAGCUAUAAAUGUCUACAUUGUUUUAUUUUGAUUCCACUUUGUUUAUUUGGAUCUGUGUAUCUGCCUCUGAACUCUGUAUCUUGUAUCUUUUAUUUUUAUUUUAUU